UCCCUCGGGGGGGGGGUGCAGUAGGGAAUCUUCCGCAAUGGGCGAAAGCCUGACGGAGCAAUGCCGCGUGAGUGAUGAAGGUUUUCGGAUCGUAAAGCUCUGUUGCCAGGGAAGAACGCUUGGGAGAGUAACUGCUCUCAAGGUGACGGUACCUGAGAAGAAAGCCCCGGCUAACUACGUGCCAGCAGCCGCGGUAAUACGUAGGGGGCAAGCGUUGUCCGGAAUUAUUGGGCGUAAAGCGCGCGCAGGCGGUCAUUUAAGUCUGGUGUUUAAUCCCGGGGCUCAACCCCGGAUCGCACUGGAAACUGGGUGACUUGAGUGCAGAAGAGGAGAGUGGAAUUCCACGUGUAGCGGUGAAAUGCGUAGAUAUGUGGAGGAACACCAGUGGCGAAGGCGACUCUCUGGGCUGUAACUGACGCUGAGGCGCGAAAGCGUGGGGAGCAAACAGGAUUAGAUACCCCCRAGUAGUCAA
rnacentral:rRNA from 1 species